rnacentral:rRNA from 1 species
UCCGGAGGGGGCUAUCGUUGUUCGGAAUUACUGGGCGUAAAGCGCGCGUAGGCGGACCUGCAAGUCGGGGGUGAAAGCCCGAGGCUCAACCUCGGAACUGCCUUCGAUACUGCGGGUCUCGAGUCCGGGAGAGGUGAGUGGAAUUCCUAGUGUAGAGGUGAAAUUCGUAGAUAUUAGGAAGAACACCAGUGGCGAAGGCGGCUCACUGGCCCGGUACUGACGCUGAGGCGCGAAAGCGUGGGGAGAAAACAGG